rnacentral:rRNA from 1 species
UGGGGAAUUUUGGACAAUGGGCGAAAGCCUGAUCCAGCCAUGCCGCGUGAGUGAAGAAGGCCUUCGGGUUGUAAAGCUCUUUUAGUCGGAAAGAAAGAGUUGCAAUGAAUAAUUGUGAUUUAUGACGGUACCGACAGAAAAAGCACCGGCUAACUACGUGCCAGCAGCCGCGGUAAUACGUAGGGUGCGAGCGUUAAUCGGAAUUACUGGGCGUAAAGCGUGCGCAGGCGGUUUUGUAAGACAGAUGUGAAAUCCCCGGGCUUAACCGGGGGACUGCGUUUGAGACUACAAGGCUGGAGGACGGCAGAGGGGGGUGGAAUUCCACGUGUAGCAGUGAAAUGCGUAGAGAUGUGGAGGAACACCGAUUGCGAAGGCAGCCCCCUGGGUCUGUACUGACGCUCAUGCACGAAAGCGUG